GAUGAACGCUAGCGACAGGCUUAACACAUGCAAGUCGAGGGGCAGCAUAAAAGUAGCAAUACUUUGGUGGCGACCGGCGCACGGGUGAGUAACGCGUAUGCAACCUACCUAUCAGAGGGGGAUAACCCGGCGAAAGUCGGACUAAUACCGCAUAAAACAGGGGCACCGCAUGGUGAUAUUUGUUAAAAAUUUAUUGCUGAUAGAUGGGCAUGCGUUCCAUUAGGUAGUUGGAGAGGUAACGGCUCACCAAGCCUACGAUGGAUAGGGGAACUUUGAGAGGUUGGUCCCCCACACUGGUACUGAGACACGGACCAGACUCCUACGGGAGGCAGCAGUGAGGAAUAUUGGUCAAUGGGCGAGAGCCUGAACCAGCCAAGUCGCGUGAAGGAAGAAGGAUCUAUGGUUCGUAAACUUCUUUUGCAGGGGAAUAAAGUGCAGGACGUGUCCUGUUUUGUAUGUACCCUGAGAAUAAGGAUCGGCUAACUCCGUGCCAGCAGCCGAC
rnacentral:rRNA from 1 species